UACGUAGGGGGCAAGCGUUGCCCGGAAUCAUUGGGCGUAAAGAGCGUGUAGGCGGCUCGGUAAGUCCGCUCUGAAAGCCCGGGGCUCAACCCCGGGAGGCGGGCGGAUACUGUCGGGCUAGAGUCCGGAAGAGGCGAGUGGAAUUCCUGGUGUAGCGGUGAAAUGCGCAGAUAUCAGGAGGAACACCAAUGGCGAAGGCAGCUCGCUGGGACGGUACUGACGCUGAGACGCGAAAGCGUGGGGAGGCAAACAGG
rnacentral:rRNA from 1 species